rnacentral:rRNA from 1 species
CCCUUAGAUGUUCUGGGCGGCCCGCGCACUACAAUGGCGCUUUCAGCGAGUUCCUAUGUUGAAUUUUCCCUGGUAUUCUUGGAAGCGGCGUCUUGACUUGGGAUAGAUCCUUGUAAUUGUUGGUUUUGAACGAGGAAUUCCUUGUAAUCGCGGUUGAUCAGCUCGCGUUGAAUACGUCCCUGCCCUUUGUACACACCGCCCGUCGCUCCUACCGAUGAAUCGUCCGGUGAAGUUCACAGAGUGGCGGUUCGUGGAGUUGCUCGCGAAGUGAAAUGGACCUCACGAUUUAGAGGAAGGAGAAGUCGUAACA